ACUCCGUUGCAGGCUGCAGUGAAAGCAGACUUCCUUGAUGAGUCGGGGAAGUGGAUGAUAUCCCCGAGACCCUGGUGGCUAACCCUGGCAUGCUGUAGUAUCUUUUCAAGAUGAUUGCCUUCAACAAGGGAGAAAAAAAAUUCUUCCCUGUGGAAUUCUGAGCACAAGGAAGACUGGCUGAGGGGAGAGUCCGUAGGGGGAGAGGCCUUGCAGGGCAUGCCCACCGGCUUCCUGACCUGCCUGCCCCCACUGGCUCUGCCCUGGGCAACUCUGCCUGCUCCAGCCCUGCAGCCGAAAGGGCCACAGGGAUUCACCCAAGAACUUGCCCCAUGCCUGGAUGAGAAGCCUCAGUGAUCCCUGAUGAUGUGGCCAUGAGUUCAGGUACAGUCUCUCUCCACCUCCACCCCCAAAUUUUGGAGAGUGAUUUCCAGGUCUCUUCUUUUCUCUAAAAAGUAAUAAUAAGGCAUUCUCGCUUGGGGAAAAAAUGAUUAAAUUUCAAAUUACUCUGCUUGCCAGAUAAGAUUGAAAUCUCUGCAUCCCAGCAGGCCGGAGACCUGUUUUGCACACAGGAAGCUCCAACAGCAACUUAUUUGCCACGUAGCGGGUUGACUGAAAUGGAGCAGCGUGUUUAAAACUGCAUUAAGGGCGGCAAACACGGUAAUGAGGGCAUUUGUUAUACUGUAAGGAGGUUUCCAGAACAUGGAAAUUACCAACAUGGCGAUUAUGAUUGUGAACUCGGUGAGGGAAAUCAAAUCCAUCCACCGCCCCUCUUCUCCUCCCAUUAAAAGGCAGAGAGUGAAUAGGAACAAGAGGCCUUUCAGGGUCUUUGGGAGGGAGGAGUCCUGGAAAGUUAUUAAACACUUUAAUAAUGCGGGGAGUUGUGGCUUCAGCUCAGGUUUAUGGGGGCUUUGAUCAAAUCCAGCCUCACAGCAGGGCCUGGUUCCCCAGGGAGACCCAGGGGAGAAAAACCACAAGGCAGGAAAAGGCUGGCUGAGACCAGCCUCAGAUUUCAAAGCUCCGUGCAGAGGACGUAUUGUAACUGGCUGGUGGUUCCAGUUUUCUUCCAAAUGGCUUGAGGGCAGGGCCCAGUGUCUCUUUGCCAUUCAGACUUGUCACCAAACUC
rnacentral:lncRNA from 1 species